GGCCCCUUUCUUCCUUUAGCAACAAACACCUGGUACUUGUGGUUUUCCUGUACGUGGCUUCAUAUGCCUUCGGGGAUUGGACUAGAUGACCUCUGGAGGUCCCUUCCAGCCCUACUUCUUUAUGACUUUAUACAAGUUUCCACAUAAUUCUGUUUUUGAUUGUCUCCUGAUGCUUUUGGGGAGGGGGGACAGUGUGCAUUUCUUUGCAGAUAGCACAGACAGCGGGAGCAGAGGAGAGCUGCUCUCCCCCAUGCAGGCUCUAGCAGAAAGCAGGACUUUCUGGAGCAGCAGCACCAGCCAUUGGUAUUGUGCUGCCAGUGUGAAGGAGAGCUGAUGUCUUGUUAAUCCUGUGUGCUCCGGCUGAACUUCACUGGAGGCCCAAGGUUUAAGCUGUCUAAAUGGAAGGAUGUAUUCAAGUUUCCCAUUAUGCAGUGAGAGCUGGAAACAGUAGGAAACCAUGCAGCACGAGCUGCAUCAGCCCAGCAGUGCCGGGCAGGGGAGGCCACACUGGAGGCAGACGCUCCGGCGGGAGAAGCUGCCCCCCGUGCGCCUGCGCCCCAGCACCCUGGCACCAGAUGCCACGCUGGAGGCAGACAGGUGGGCAAGGGGCAAACUGCCCCCAAUUAAAGCUUCCCCCUGCGUGCCCUCCUUGGGGGAAGGUGCGGAGAGGAGGGACCCUGCACCUGGACCAGGACCAGGUGCAGGCGCAGCGGUGGGGGCAGGUGGAGGGGCGGGCGAGGCCGUCCCAGCUGUGCCGGGCAGCGCUGCCA